rnacentral:rRNA from 1 species
AUUGAACGCUGGCGGCAUGCCUUACACAUGCAAGUCGAACGGUAACAGGUCUUCGGAUGCUGGCGAGUGGCGAACGGGUGAGUAAUACAUCGGAACGUGCCUAGUAGUGGGGGAUAACUACUCGAAAGAGUGGCUAAUACCGCAUGAGAUCUACGGAUGAAAGCAGGGGAUCGCAAGACCUUGUGCUACUAGAGCGGCCGAUGGCAGAUUAGGUAGUUGGUGGGAUAAAAGCUUACCAAGCCGACGAUCUGUAGCUGGUCUGAGAGGACGAUCAGCCACACUGGGACUGAGACACGGCCCAGACUCCUACGGGAGGCAGCAGUGGGGAAUUUUGGACAAUGGGCGCAAGCCUGAUCCAGCAAUGCCGCGUGCAGGAUGAGGGCCUUCGGGCUGUAAACUGCUUUUGUACGGAACGAAAAGCCCUGGGUUAAUACCCUGGGGUCAUGACGGUACCGUAAGAAUAAGCACCGGCUAACUACGUGCCAGCAGCCGCGGUAAUAC